rnacentral:rRNA from 1 species
AUAGCUCACUGGUCGAGUCGGCCUGCGCGGAAGAUGUAACGGGGCUAAACCAUGCACCGAAGCUGCGGCAGCGACACUAUGUGUUGUUGGGUAGGGGAGCGUUCUGUAAGCCUGCGAAGGUGUGCUGUGAGGCAUGCUGGAGGUAUCAGAAGUGCGAAUGCUGACAUAAGUAACGAUAAAGCGGGUGAAAAGCCCGCUCGCCGGAAGACCAAGGGUUCCUGUCCAACGUUAAUCGGGGCAGGGUGAGUCGACCCCUAAGGCGAGGCCGAAAGGCGUAGUCGAUGGGAAACAGGUUAAUAUUCCUGUACUUGGUGUUACUGCGAAGGGGGGACGGAGAAGGCUAUGUUAGCCGGGCGACGGUUGUCCCGGUUUAAGCAUGUAGGCUGAUUGUCCAGGCAAAUCCGGAUAAUCAAGGCUGAGGUGUGAUGACGAGGCACUACGGUGCUGAAGUAACAAAUGCCCUGCUUCCAGGAAAAGCCUCUAAGCAUCAGGUAACAUCAAAUCGUACCCCAAACCGACACAGGUGGUCAGGUAGAGAAUACCAAGGCGCUUGAGAGAACUCGGGUGAAGGAACUAGGCAAAAUGGUGCCGUAACUUCGGGAGAAGGCACGCUGGUGUGUAGGUGAAGUCCCUGCGGAUGGAGCUGAGACCAGUCGAAGAUACCAGCUGGCUGCAACUGUUUAUUAAAAACACAGCACUGUGCAAACACGAAAGU